UGCGGGGCUUGCCUUCUGGC
rnacentral:piRNA from 1 species